rnacentral:rRNA from 1 species
UACGAAGGGGGCUAGCGUUGUUCGGAAUCACUGGGCGUAAAGGGCGCGUAGGCGGCUUGAUAAGUCGGGGGUGAAAGCCUGUGGCUCAACCACAGAAUUGCCUUCGAUACUGUCGAGCUUGAGACCGGAAGAGGUAAGUGGAACUGCGAGUGUAGAGGUGAAAUUCGUAGAUAUUCGCAAGAACACCAGUGGCGAAGGCGGCUCACUGGUCCGAUACUGACGCUGAGGUGCGAAAGCGUGGGGAGCAAACAGG